rnacentral:misc_RNA from 1 species
UACCGAGGGGGCGAGCGUUGUUCGGAAUUACUGGGCGUAAGGGCGCGUAGGCGGCCUGUUAAGUCGAACGUGAAAUCCCCGGGCUCAACCCGGGAACUGCGCUCGAGACUGGCAGGCUUGAAUCCGGGAGAGGGAUGUGGAAUUCCAGGUGUAGCGGUGAAAUGCGUAGAUAUCUGGAGGAACACCGGUGGCGAAGGCGACAUCCUGGACCGGUAUUGACGAUGAGGCGCGAAAGCCAGGGUAGCAAACGGG